UACGUAGGGGGGCUAGCGUUGUCCGGAUUUAUUGGGCGUAAAGAGCUCGUAGGCGGCUCGGUAAGUCAGGUGUGAAAACUCUAGGCUCAACCUAGAGACGCCACCUGAUACUGCUGUGGCUAGAGUCCGGUAGGGGAGCAUGGAAUUCCUGGUGUAGCGGUGAAAUGCGCAGAUAUCAGGAGGAACACCAGUGGCGAAGGCGGUGCUCUGGGCCGGAACUGACGCUGAGGAGCGAAAGCGUGGGGAGCAAACAGG
rnacentral:rRNA from 1 species